UGAGAAUGGAUUAAAACAACACUUGCAGAGUGUAUAUUUCAUCAAAUGGAGGAAAUACGACCAACAUGCAGAAACAUUUGCACACAGCAGCAAUGACUUCAUUGAAU